rnacentral:rRNA from 1 species
AUUGAACGCUGGCGGCAGGCUUUACACAUGCAAGUCGAACGAGUGGCGGACGGGUGAGUAAUGUCUGGGAAACUGCCCGAUGGAGGGGGAUAACUACUAGAAACGGUAGCUAAUACCGCAUACUAUCGGAUCUGCCCAGAUGGGAUUAGCUAGUUGGUGGGGUAAAGGCUCACCUAGGCGACGAUCCCUAGCUGGUCUGAGAGGAUGACCAGCCACACGGGAACUGAGACACGGCCCAGACUCCUACGGGAGGCAGCAGUGGGGAAUAGUGGACAAUGGGCGAAAGCCUGAUACAGCCAUGCCGCGUGUAUGAUGAAGGCCUUCGGGUUGUAAAGUACUUUCAGCAGGGAAGCGUUACCCGCAGAAGAAGCACCGGCUAACUCCGUGCCAGCAGCCGCGGUAAUAC